CCCUUAGAUGUUCUGGGCCGCACGCGCGCUACACUGAUGCAUUCAACGAGUCUAAAACCUGCUCUGAUAGGGGUGGGUAAUCUUUUGAAUGUGCAUCGUGAUUGGGAUAGAUGAUUGCAAUUUUUCAUCUUCAACGAGGAAUGCCUAGUAAACGCAAGUCAUCAGCUUGCAUUGAUUACGUCCCUGCCCUUUGUACACACCGCCCGUCGCUCCUACCGAUUGAAUGAUCCGAUGAAUAUCAUGGAUUGAGGAUGCAAGUAGGUUAGCCUAUCUUCAUCUUCGAGAAGUGAAGUAAAUCUUAUCACUUAGAGGAAGGAGAAGUCGUAACA
rnacentral:rRNA from 1 species